ACUACCCACCAAACUAACUAUCCAUCGCAAGUUUCUUUUCAAACUUUCUCGCACUUUCUUUUCUAUUUUCUCGGGAAAACUCCAAUUGCCUCCUUCUCCUUGUUAAUCCGAUGGAUAAGAACGAGGUUUGCACAUCGGAGUCCGUCGAUGGAAGCAGCCGCGAUGUGUGGAGUUCAAAUUCCUCCGAUUCUUCCACCGCCGACCAUCUUGUUGUCAUGGUCAAUGGAAUUCUCGGAAGUUCAUCAGAUUGGAAGUUUGGGGCAGAGCGAUUUGUUAAAGAGCUUCCUGAUAAAGUUUUUGUUCACUGUAGCGAACGAAAUGUGUCUAGGCUGACACUUGAUGGUGUCGACGUCAUGGGGGAGCGAUUGGCAGAGGAGGUCCUUGAGUUGAUUCAGAGAAAGCCAAAUAUGCGUAAAAUCUCCUUUGUCGCACACUCAGUUGGAGGUUUGGUGGCUCGAUAUGCGAUUGGAAGGCUGUAUAGGCCACCUGAGAAAGAAGAGUGUAUAAAGGACUCAUGCAAUAAAGAAAGUAAGGAGGACUCAAAUGGUACAAUAUGUGGCUUGGAGGCAGUGAAUUUCAUAACUGUUGCUACACCGCAUCUUGGGUCAAGGGGCAAUAAGCAGGUUCCAUUUCUUUUCGGGGUAACUGCUUUUGAGAAACUUGCAAGUUGUGUCAUUCACUUGAUUUUUAGAAGAACAGGUCGGCAUCUUUUCCUUACUGAUGAUGAUGAAGGAAAACCUCCGUUGCUGAAACGCAUGGUUGAAGACUAUGAUGACUGUUAUUUCAUGUCUGCAUUACGCACUUUCAAACGUAGGGUGGUAUAUUCAAAUGUAGGCUAUGAUCAUAUUGUUGGCUGGAGAACAUCAUGCAUUAGACGUGAUAAUGAACUUCCAAAGUGGGAGGAUACCCUCAAUGAAAAGUAUCCACAUGUUGUAUAUCAAGAGCAUUGCAAGGCAUGUGAUGCUGAGCAGUGUGAUUCAACAGAAGAUAACGGCUCUGACAAGAUUGAAGAGGAGCUGGUAACGGCCUUAUCUCGUGUUUCGUGGGAAAAAGUAGAUGUUAGCUUCCAUAGUAGCAGACUGCGAUUUGCUGCUCAUAGUGUCAUUCAGGUCAAAGACCAAAUCUCUCAUAUAGAUGGUGCAGAUGUUAUACAGCAUAUGAUUGACCAUUUUCGUAUCUAGAAGCUGCUUGUCUCUAGAGUUGUAUAUUUCCCUCUUGGCAAUAUAAGCUUUUCAUAGGAUGGAAAAAUUGAUUCUCUCAGUAACAAAGUUCUUCCAAAAGUUAAGGUGAAGAAGCAAUUGAAAUUUUGUUUUUUCGUGAUCCUUGAAAAUGUAUUAGAAUAUAUGUAUAAGAUAGGUAGACCGGCAGAUUUUUCUAUAUGAAAGCCUUUGAAUCAGGAUAGCAUGUUCAUAUGCAUUUGGCAACAAUAAAAUGUGAAGAUAACUUAGUAAA